CCAAGCUCAAGGUUGACUCAACCUUCCAUCCUCCCGAGGGUGAAAAUAAAACAGAAGAGCAAAACAGGAAGAAUACAAUGUAUAGCAAACACAGAACAAAAGCUGCAUGGGGGAGCUGACAAUUUUUUAUAAUACUCAUAAUCACCCUCUGUGGCAGGUAUGAGGCCCAGAACCCAGAAGUGCAUAAAGAGAAGCUGCCUCAGUCAGGGCAGGGCUUCCCUUUCAGUGAAUCGGGACUGUGGAGCAACGAAGUUGUGAUAUCAAGGAAACAAACCAACCAACAAACAAAAAACCCUAAAACUCAGCCCUUUGAAACAGGAAUGAGCAAAAGCAAGAUUGGGAUCUACUGCUAGAUUUUAGAUUGCAUAAUGGUGAAUAAGUUUCUUCACGAAUGAAUGAACAGUAAACACAGCUCCGGAUUUCUUAUUUGCAGGGUUGACCAGCUGAGUCCUUCUUUGAGAACUACUACAAAGGCCUAAACUGGAGUAUAUACACUAUACAUAGUGUUAGAAUUUAGUGUACUUAAAUUAAAGAUGAAGGAAGCAUAUUGUUUGCAGUCCUUUGCACUUUUAUUAAGUGUUAGGGGAUUAUGAGAAAAUCUGGAAA